rnacentral:misc_RNA from 1 species
UCCGGUUUGACACCGGCAGUCUCUUCAGAGUGCCCAGCUUGACCUGAUGGCAACAGAAGACAAGGGUUGCGCUCGUUGCGGGACUUAACCCAACAUCUCACGACACGAGCUGACGACAGCCAUGCAGCACCUCGACAGAUGCCCUUGCGGGAGCCUACUUUCGUAGGAUGUCAUCUGCCGUUCGAGCCUGGGUAAGGUUCUUCGCGUUGCGUCGAAUUAAGCCGCAUGCUCCGCCGCUUGUGCGGGGACCCGUCAAUUCCUUUGAGUUUUAGCCUUGCGGCCGUACUCCCCAGGCGGGGUACUUAAUGCGUUAGCUACGGCACGGAUCCCAAGGAAGGAAACCCACACCUAGUACCCACCGUUUACGGCGUGGACUAC